GGUGGCUCAGUGGUAGAGCACUUGCCUUGCAUGCAUGAGACCCUGGGUUCGAUUCUUCAGGACCA
rnacentral:tRNA from 1 species